AAAAAUGUUUCAUUUUGGGAAGUCGGAACCCAUACAUUCUAGAAUAGUCAGUAGUGCACCAAACCGGUCAUCCUGAAUCAUUCAAUCAAACCAUGAAGCACACAACCCUGUUCAACAGCAAGCAACACAUUUUCAUUCUGCCUCAUGAUUGAGAGAAGAAAAAGUUUUGGUGGGUAAGGGGGGGAAGACAAAAGAUGAGAAAAGGGGGGAUGUUAUUAACAUUAAUGACCCCGAGUCUUAGUUAUGCUGUGAUCAGUUCUCCUAACCAAAUACACUCCCAAGCCUCCCUACAUUCUAUCCAUUAUUUUACAAGCCUGACUAAAACUUACACCCCAUGUC
rnacentral:misc_RNA from 1 species